rnacentral:rRNA from 1 species
CGAAAGUCUGACGGAGCAACGCCGCGUGAGUGAUGAAGGUUUUCGGAUCGUAAAGCUCUGUUGUUAGGGAAGAACAAGUGCCGUUCAAAUAGGGCGGCACCUUGACGGUACCUAACCAGAAAGCCACGGCUAACUACGUGCCAGCAGCCGCGGUAAUACGUAGGUGGCAAGCGUUGUCCGGAAUUAUUGGGCGUAAAGGGCUCGCAGGCGGUUUCUUAAGUCUGAUGUGAAAGCCCCCGGCUCAACCGGGGAGGGUCAUUGGAAACUGGGGAACUUGAGUGCAGAAGAGGAGAGUGGAAUUCCACGUGUAGCGGUGAAAUGCGUAGAGAUGUGGAGGAACACCAGUGGCGAAGGCGACUCUCUGGUCUGUAACUGACGCUGAGGAGCGAAAGCGUGGGGAGCGAACAGGAUUAGAUACCCUGGUAGUCCACGCCGUAAACGAUGAGUGCUAAGUGUUAGGGGGUUUCCGCCCCUUAGUGCUGCAGCUAACGCAUUAAGCACUCCGCCUGGGGAGUACGGGUCGCAAGACUGAAACUCAAAAGGAAUUGACGGGGGCCCGCACAAGCGGUGGAGCAUGUGGUUUAAUUCGAAGCAACGCGAAGAACCUUACCAGGUCUUGACAUCCUCUGACAAUCCUAGAGAU